rnacentral:lncRNA from 1 species
CAGUUUGGGCUUCCGGAGUGAUUGGAAAACCCAACCUAUCAAGGUACUCAAUAUACCCAAUCAUUUUUAGCACAUGUGGACCAACUGGAUCACGUUCACCCAUUUUGCAGUGAUACAACGCCUUGCUUGUAUCAUACCUCUCCUGUCAAGCAUGCCCUUCGAACAAUUUCUUGAGAUGCUCGAUCAUCUCAUAAGCAUCCAUCAACUCAUGUUGCUUCUGAAGCUCAGCGUUCAUGGUUGCUAGCAUGACAUAACUCACAUCCAGAGAAUCAUCUUGAUGCUUCUUGUAAGCAUUAUGCUCCGCACGUGGUGCAGUGACAGCUGGUACUGCAGGAAUGGGUCCAUCAAGGACAUAUAGCUUACGCUCUUGUUUGAGGACAAUC